rnacentral:ncRNA from 1 species
CGGAGAGUGUUGAUAUUUUCUUAACCUGUGGUAAAAAGUCAGGGUGGAACAAACAUGAUGUUUGCGACAGGCGGUCGGCGACAUGGAUGUCGCCUGGAGCCGUGCCCGUUUGGAUGAGAAAUACUUGAUCCACGGGUUUAGAAAAUUCACA